AGUGUGGAUGGCAGUGGGGUCGGGGGUAGUGUCAGGCCUGUUUCUCCCAAGUUGAAGGGAGGAGGAAGUCAGGAGGCUCAAGCCCUGUCUUAAUUCAGAGCACUUUGAAAAGUAUCUAUUUUUUUCUUAUUUCCAUAAUAAUACACUUAUUGAAAAAAAUUAAAAAUUUCACAAAAGCAUAAAAAGAGAAUAUCCCCUGCAGUGCACCCCUAAGAUGGAAUGACUACACAUUUCCUGUGUGACAAGAAGCUGAGCACGGGCAACCAGGAGCUGGGUUUGGGGC
rnacentral:lncRNA from 1 species